rnacentral:rRNA from 1 species
GAUGAACGCUGGCGGCGUGCCUAAUACAUGCAAGUCGAGCGAACAGACGAGGAGCUUGCUCCUCUGACGUUAGCGGCGGACGGGUGAGUAACACGUGGAUAACCUACCUAUAAGACUGGGAUAACUUCGGGAAACCGGAGCUAAUACCGGAUAAUAUAUUGAACCGCAUGGUUCAAUAGUGAAAGACGGUUUUGCUGUCACUUAUAGAUGGAUCCGCGCCGCAUUAGCUAGUUGGUAAGGUAACGGCUUACCAAGGCGACGAUGCGUAGCCGACCUGAGAGGGGUGACGGCCCAGGUGGGAGAGGAAGACGGGCCAAACUGCCACGGGGGGCCGGAGUAGAGAAUUAUCCGAAAGGGGCGAAGGGCAGACGGGACAACGGCGGGUGGGUUGAGAAAGUCUUGGGGUGGGAAAACUGUUGUAAUUAGGGAAGAAAAAUUGUUAAAUAACUGAGGACGUUUUGAGGGUCCCGAGAACAAAAGCCCACUCAAACCGCG